UACGGGGGGGGCAAGCGUUGUUCGGAAUUACUGGGCGUAAAGGGUUUGUAGGUGGCUUGCUAAGUCAGACGUGAAAUCCCUCAGCUUAACUGGGGAACUGCGUCUGAGACUGGUGAGCUUGAGUGCAGGAGAGGAACGCGGAAUUCCAGGUGUAGCGGUGAAAUGCGUAGAUAUCUGGAGGAACACCGGUGGCGAAGGCGACGUUCUGGACUGUAACUGACACUGAGGAACGAAAGCCAGGGGAGCAAACGGG
rnacentral:rRNA from 1 species